CAUUACGUAAAAGCUAUACUGUAACAUAUGGUAUUGUCCUUUUAAUUACCCGUUUUCGAGUAAUGUAAUUAUGCCACACAUAAAAGAACAUUCAUAGUGUAGUGUAAACCUAUAAAUUAAGCUCGAUUGCAUCGAAAGCCUAAGGCUUAUUGAGACGCUGUUGAAUCCUUUACCUGGAAUUUACCAAUAAUUGGUGUUGUUUAGCCAAAGAGCUCUCCUCAGUUGGGAUAUCGAACAAAUGAUCUUCAGGUCGAUAGGCGGACACCAUAUCCACUACGCCACGGCAUCCUGACGAAAUAACAUUCAUUGAGCGUGAACUCUAAUUCUAGGCCUUGUCUCAACAAAUCUCCGGCAAUUCGUUUGUAAUUAAAAAAAAGAAACAAAUUUACUACGUUUUGGAUAAUAUAAAGAUGAAUUUGUGUCUUAAGUAUUAAGUUUGUUAAUUAAUCAACAUACGCUUUUUAAUUUAACCUUAGUGUGUAAGUAUUUAAUACUGAUAAUUUAUACUUAAAUUGCAUACCCGUAGCCAGGGUGGUGUGCGUUGGGUGCGUUCGCACCCAAUAUUUUUUGACGAGUAAAACAAUUGUAAUAUAAGUUGCAGCCAACUUUAUUCGACGUAGAAACGGUUAUUUCUCUUUUCAGCGAUUCUUCGUAUUUAAGCGUUACAAUAAUGUUGAAUACAAUAGGCUACCGACAGGUCACCAUAAAAUUAAUUUCUCGAUGAAGUCAUUUCCAAGAUAGAUCCACAUACAGAACUUUCCACAAUGUUUUAAUUAUGUCAAACCUGACACUUGAAAAUAUGUCCUACUCUUAAACAGUUGUUAAAAUGAAUUUAAAACGUUAAAACAUAGGAUCAGGUGGACGUUUACGUAUAAUGUUCAUUAACUGUGAUGGAUCGUGAGCAUAAUGGGCAAGUAAGUCCAUCUUUUGUUAAGGACUUUGAGGCCAUAGGGCCAGCAGUUUGUGGUUAUAGGGUCUUUAUGAAGCCUUAUUUGUUAUAUGUUUCUGAAAUUCGUUUAUAAAUAGAUACCUUAUUGGUUAAAAAGGUUUUUUUUUAAGUAACCAGUUAUACCAUUAUGAUUUCUGUUUAGUUUUGAUGCAGAUUAGAGAAGACCAAGUUUUGUAAAUCAGUGUUUGUUGUACAAUGCACUAUAAGCACUUUUAGAGCAAUGCUGGGCCUCUGGUACUAUCCAUAGUUGCAGACAAACAAUUGUUUUGAAAAAAAAGUCAAAUAUUUCCUUUUAAUUUGCUUGAUUUAAGAAUGGUAGAAAUUUGGAAUGGUAAAAUACAUCAAUUUUAUCAAGAUUCAAAUGAAUAAUGAUAUUUUAUACUGUUCUUAUUGUUGAUUUUACAUUCUAUAAAUUUGUUGUUGCAUAUGUAAACAAAGUAUGUGCGCGCAUACUAGUGUCAGGUUAAACACCGUAUACAAUAGUGUAUUUCCUGUGACUGAUCGAAAAAGGUGGUUAUAGAAAAACGGUAGUGGGAAUUUCAUGUAUGUUAUAUCAUAUUCAUGUCCAUCAGUCACUGAGUAUGGUCAAUAAAAGUGAAAUUUCCUAUAAAAAAUGCUCUAUAACUUCAGUCUCUAUAUACAGAUAAAAAGUCACAAGAAUGCAGGAUUUUAAGUUUCAUUUUCAAACUUUUCUGGGCAAGUUCGCACCCCCCUUUUCAAAACCCUGCCUACGGGUCUGAAUUGAUUUUCAUUUGAUCUCAUUAGUACGACUCAAGUUAAAAUUUUCAUUUUCCGUUUGUUUAAUACAGUCAUUAAACUGUGUUACAUGCCGUUUCACAGAGACCGCGCUUUAUACAACAUUUAACUGGUUUCGAAAUGUUUGCAAUUGUACUCAUCUGCUCACGCGCAUAGAUGCCGAGCGUUAUGCAUGUGCUCAACACAAGCCAACACUAUUUGUUGUUGCCCGCAUCUUUAUAGGUUCCAUAUAACAUGGAGCGGAUCUGGUAUAUAUUCACUUUAGGUUCCAUAUAACAUGGAGCGGAUCUGGUAUAUAUUCACUUUAGGUUCCAUAUAACAUGGAGCGGAUCUGGUAUAUAUUCACUUUAGGUUCCAUAUAACAUGGAGCG